AGACCCGAAACCCGGUGAUCUAGCCAUGGGCAGGUUGAAGGUUGGGUAACACUAACUGGAGGACCGAACCGACUAAUGUUGAAAAAUUAGCGGAUGACCUGUGGCUGGGGGUGAAAGGCCAAUCAAACCGGGAGAUAGCUGGUUCUCCCCGAAAGCUAUUUAGGUAGCGCCUCGUGAAUUCAUCUCCGGGGGUAGAGCACUGUUUCGGCUAGGGGGCCAUCCCGGCUUACCAACCCGAUGCAAACUGCGAAUACCGGAGAAUGUUAUCACGGGAGACACACGGCGGGUGCUAACGUCCGUCGUGAAGAGGGAAACAACCCAGACCGCCAGCUAAGGUCCCAAAGUCAUGGUUAAGUGGGAAACGAUGUGGGAAGGCCCAGACAGCCAGGAUGUUGGCUUAGAAGCAGCCAUCAUUUAAAGAAAGCGUAAUAGCUCACUGGUCGAGUCGGCCUGCGCGGAAGAUGUAACGGGGCUAAACCAUGCACCGAAGCUGCGGCAGCGAACGUAUCACCCAAGACAACUUUACGGAGUUGACGAUUGACGGAGCGAAGCGACGUCAAAGCGUUCAUUAAAGUCGAGUUGGCUUAGGGAUACGUUCGUUGGGUAGGGGAGCGUUCUGUAAGCCUGUGAAGGUGUGUCGUGAGGCAUGCUGGAGGUAUCAGAAGUGCGAAUGCUGACAUAAGUAACGAUAAAGCGGGUGAAAAGCCCGCUCGCCGGAAGACCAAGGGUUCCUGUCCAACGUUAAUCGGGGCAGGGUGAGUCGACCCCUAAGGCGAGGCCGAAAGGCGUAGUCGAUGGGAAACGGGUUAAUAUUCCCGUACUUGGUGUUACUGCGAAGGGGGGACGGAGAAGGCUAUGUUGGCCGGGCGACGGUUGUCCCGGUUUAAGCGUGUAGGUGUGUGUUCCAGGUAAAUCCGGUUCACUUUAACACUGAGGCGUGACGACGAGGCACUACGGUGCUGAAGCAACAAAUGCCCUGCUUCCAGGAAAAGCCUCUAAGCAUCAGGUAACACGAAAUCGUACCCCAAACCGACACAGGUGGUCAGGUAGAGAAUACCAAGGCGCUUGAGAGAACUCGGGUGAAGGAACUAGGCAAAAUGGUGCCGUAACUUC
rnacentral:rRNA from 1 species